rnacentral:rRNA from 1 species
CCUACGGGGGGCUGCAGUGGGGAAUAUUGCACAAUGGGGGAAACCCUGAUGCAGCAACGCCGCGUGAGCGAAGAAGGCCUUCGGGUCGUAAAGCUCUGUCCUAAGGGAAGAAGCAUGACGGUACCUUAGGAGGAAGCCCCGGCUAANUACGNGCCAGCAGCCGCGGUAANACGUAGGGGGCGAGCGUUAUCCGGANUCACUGGGCGUAAAGGGUGCGUAGGCGGCCGNUUAAGCCAGGGGUGAAAGGCUACGGCUCAACCGUAGUAAGCCCUUGNAACUGAUUGGCUUNAGUGCAGGAGAGGAGAGUGGAAUUCCAAGUGUAGCGGUGAAAUGCGUAGAUAUUAGGAGGAACACAAGUGGCGAAUGCGACUCUCUGGUCUGUAACUGACGCUGAGGCACGAAAGCGUGGGGAGCAAACUGGAUUAGAUACCCUGGUAGUC